rnacentral:rRNA from 1 species
CGGAUGAACGAUAGCCUGAUGCAGCCAUGCCGCGUGUAUGAAGAAGGCCUUCGGGUUGUAAAGUACUUUCAGCGGGGAGGAAGGGAGUAAAGUUAAUACCUUUGCUCAUUGACGUUACCCGCAGAAGAAGCACCGGCUAACUCCGUGCCAGCAGCCGCGGUAAUAC